CAGCUAAUGUAUAAUCAAGCUCUUCAUUCCUAACCUAACAAGAGUAACUUCCCCUCAUUAUAGGAGUCGAAUGUUUGGAUCCAAUGGCCAGCAAGGGAAGAUUGUCUGAUGGCCAGAAGAACCAACUCGAACAAUGGAUUGGACAAGGCCACAAGGACUUUGUGUUGCUGUUUAGCUUUUCAAAAGACGGCGGAACCGAAAGUGCUUUCCACAACAAGUGUGACAACAAAGGUUCUACUGUCACUGUGAUUUACAACGAUCAGAAAUCUGUUUAUGGAGGGUACACUAGUGUUUUCUGGUCAGGUUCUGAUGGCACCGUUUUUGAUUCAAAAGCAUUCAUAUUCCAGUUGCAGUUUUCAGGAAUCGAAAAAGCAAACACGUUUCCAGUUAAAAAGCCAGAGAGUGCAAUUUUGUGUUCUACUUGUGGUGUUGUAUUCGGUUCACCGCACCAUGACUUAUGGGCAUUCAACAAUGCAGUUAAAAUAGGGAGCGAAUUUAAACUGGAUUUUUAAUAAACAAUGCACUGUCACGGAUAAAGCAUUUCGGCAUUCGUUAGUAAAAUCUAUUCUGUACUUCCAAAAUGACUGAGUCGUAUAUAAUUUACAACCAGGAUAUUAUCGCUAAACCAAAUGCAUCCAUCAAAAUUAAUUGGACAUGUUAAUUAAGUUUAUGUUUAAGGUUUCUUUCAACAAUGACAGGAUCCUCUCCCAAAGUUCCUCUGGAUCGAAUCACCCGCAUAUUAUUUAUUUCCGAAAUUACUUGAAGACAUAUCUUGCCUUAAGCCAGUGUCGCGGCUCGGGGUUACCGACUUUCGGGUUGUAUUGAUCGGUCAGGUAGCUGGGGGAAAGUCCAGCUGCAUAAAUACUCUGCUGUCCGCGUUUGCUGAAAGAAUUUCACAGAGAGCCUCUUCUGGAUGUGGCAGAACCGGCAUUACAACAUCGGUUAAGUAUCUUUUGACUUAACUGAUUAUAUUGUGUUUUAUCUUAUUGGGUAUUUUGAAAAUAACUCCGUCGUAAGUACACUAGUAUUUAAUUCUGUUAAUGAAGAUACCAUUCCACAAAUGUAUUUUUCCACACACAUGAAAACAUUAUUUUAUGAUAUGCAUCAUAACUGGAAAUCAUAAAUAUUUUUUGUCUCUCCUCUCACCUUCUUUCAGUUUACGCCGUAUCCACUGAAGUCCAGUUCUGGAUCAUCGGCAGACAUUCGCCUGUAUGAUACUCCUGGAUUUACUGAAACUUCUGGCUUAGAUUUAAUAGAUUUUAACUACAUAUUGGAAGGUCAUAUUUCUGACCAUUACAUGUUCCACUCGUCUAUACACAUCACAUGGAAGUCAGAGAAGUUUGUUUUGAAACCGACAAUGAGCCAUCGUAUUCAUUGUGGGGCGAUUGUCAUUGAUGCUUCGACGGUUGAUGCUUUGACAAAGGAAAACACAGAAAAACUAAAGGCGCUCAAAGCCCUCUUCGAUGCGAAAGGUAUCCCAUGUGUUGUGCUGUUGACAAAAAUUGACAAGGUAGCCCCUGAACUUGAGGAAAACUGGAGAUCGACCUUUAAAAACCAAGAGAUCAAAGAGUGCGUAGACAAAGCAGCGACCGCCAUUGGUAUAAGUAGAAACAACGUGCACCCAGUGAAGAAUUACGAGAUAGAAUUAGAGGUCGACGAAGAUUUGAAUGUGCUGUCGCUGUUGGCGUUGCGGCAAAUUAUACACCUCUCGAUGGACCAUAUGGAAAACGUGAUACUGCGUGAAGACGGAAAUGCUGUUUCUGAGAGCGCGGAAGCGGUGGGGUCAGAUACCGCUUAAAUUUAAAAGGAGUUUUUAUUCAGUAAUUGUGCGUAUUGUACGAACAUAUAUGUACGCGGCUAUUCUGCUCUAUUAAAAAGACAACUAAUAUAGUUUUCAUUGUUGUAUUGUGAUGUUGUCUGUUCGAGUGUGUUAGGCCUAAAUCGUGCGCCUUCAUUUUGACCACUGGGCUUCUCCUGUAGUUUUCAUUGUUGUAUUAUGGUGUUGUCUGUUCGAGUGUGCUAGGCAUGAAUCGUGCGCCUUCUCUUUGACCACUGGGCUUCUCCUGUAGUUUUCAUUGGAACAUUAUUGUUAUAAGAAAACUUAGUCAUUGCUAUAACAUGUAACACGUUCAAGAACAAAUUUCCGUUGUUGUAAUUAAGGACAAUUAAAUAUUGCUAUUACAUGUUAAACUUUCAAAAGCUAUGUUCCAUUGUUGUAUUUAAAGAAACUGACUUUAUUGCAUCUUAUCGUGCAGUUGCAUGAACAGUGACGUGUUCGUCGAUAUGCAUGAGUUUUAUCUGAAUAUAACUGUAUAUGUGUAUUUUAGAUAUAAGUUUAUUGGCUUGUGCUUUUGAAAUGAUGUCUGUUUUUUUAAGUGUUUGUUAAUAUUUGACAAUAGUGGGCUUAUUAAUAGAGGAUGCCUCACACAUCUUCGACCCCAGUGAUUUUGACACAUUUCCCUCCUGGUGGGGUGGAAUUUAGACCCCAAAAUUUUGCAGUUUGACUAAAUACACAGGAUGUGCGCCCUACCCCACAGUUUGGCAAAACACCUAUAGAUGUAUGGUUUUAAUAUAGAUAUAAUUUAUGUAACGAUCAAUUACCGCUCUUUUACCAUGUCCAUGCAAGCAUAUCGUCACCCUAGUGCAAUAAUUCAAUAACUGCAUAUAGAAAUAGAAGCAGAUAUUGAGUUCUUGCACUAAGGCGACGAUAUGUAGAUGCCAGUCAUGAUUGGAACAGCUAUGAACUAUUACUAUUAAUAUAACAUCAACUCUAUGGAACGCCGUAACGGUCUUAUGGUGAGACAUUUCAAGUUGUUUUGUUCAUAGAACGUCCAAUCUUGUUAAAAUAGCAUAAUAAUUUCUCAAAUUGCCGUGAUGUUUGACGAUUAAAUAUUCUGUCUUUUUAACUGUUUUGCCAUCUUGUGAACAUAAUUUGUUAUAAUGUCUAUUCUCUUCUUAAAGCUGCACUCUCACAGAUUGAACGUUUUGACAACUAUUUUAUAUUUUGUCUUGGAACGAGCCAUUUUUUGCGAAAAUCCAUGGAAACCAGUCAUAAAAGACUGCUGACAAAAAAUCAGAUCGCAGAUUUUUAUAUUUAAGUUCAAAAUUUGAUGUUGUAUGCAUUCUUUUAAACCGUUGGUAGCGAUUUAAGCCAUAAAAUCCUUAAUUUCCGAACGGAAAUAUUAAAAUCUGCGAUCUGAUCUUUUGUCAUUGGUUUGCAGAUAUUUACGUAAAAAUAUGCU